AUAGAGGAGGCCUUGUACUGAAAGCGUGGAGCCACAAGAUAGAAGCUGCCUGGAUCCCUGAGUCACCACAUGUCAUCACGUGGAAGGCAGAAGCCCUGGAGAGUGAUGGAGUCUCCCUCUGUGCGCCCUAUGGCCCAGGCUGCAGUGUAGUGACACAGUCUCAGCUCUCUGUAACUUCUGCCUCUCGGGUUCAAGCGAUUCUCCUGCCUCAGCCUCCUGAGUAGCUGGGAUUACAGGCUGGAGUGCAACGGUGCAAUCUCCGCUGACUGCAACCUCCGCCUCCCGGGCUCAAGCAAUCCUCUCACCUCAGCCUCCCAAGUAGCUGGGACCCCAAGUGUGCGCCAUCACGCCUGGCUAAUUUUUGUCCUUUUUUUUUUUUCUGAGACAGAAUCUCACUCUGUCGCCCAGGCUGGAGUGCAAUGGCAAGAUCUCGGCUCACUGCAACCUCCAUCUCCUGGGUUCAAGCAAUUCUUCUGCCUCAGCCUCCCUAGUAGCUAGGAUUACAUGUGCAUGCAACCAUGCCUGGCUAAUUUUUGUGUUUUUAGUAGAGACAGGAUUUUGCCAUGUUGUCCAGGGUAGUCUCGAAGUCCUGACCUCAAGUGAUCUGCCUGCCUCGGCCUCCCAAAGUGCCAGGAUUACAGGCAUGAGCCACCAUGCCUAGCCAAUUUUUGUACUUUUUGUAGAGAUGAAGUUUCACCAUGUUGGCCAGGCUGGUCUCCAGCUCUUGACUCAAGAGAUCUACCCAGCUUGCCUUCCCA
rnacentral:lncRNA from 1 species